rnacentral:rRNA from 1 species
UGGUAGUAAAAGUCGUAACAA